AUUUAAAGAGAUCCAUUAAUUUGUCAAUUUUUAAAAGUCAAGUGGCAGCAACAGGACUAAACUCAAUGUGUACUAUAUCAUCAAAUUAGUAGAAUGCUUUUCUCUGAAACAUUUUAGCUGAAGGAAUUAUCUUUCCAGGUAGAAGCUACUGUUUGCUUUCACUGGAAACCUGAUUUCUGCCCUCAUUAAAGCAAGCUCAGAGUAGAGGAAGGCAGAGAGUAGAAGGCAGAGUGAACACAUUGCCAAAUUAGUACUGCAAGAGCAGGAGCAAUAUGUAAUCCAGAGCCCUCGUCCCUGGACUUCAGGCUACAGAGGAGGGAACAUUAGCUAAUUAGAAAUCCAGCAAGAAAGAAGAGCCUAGAAUCAUUAUCAUAACUGGGCAAAACUGUGCCCUGUGCUUCCUCUUUCUGAACAGGAGUAUUUUGUCUAAAUCUACACUGUGCUCUGGAAGCCAGAAGUAAUUUCUCCUUCCCAGAACUGAGACACAGAGAACAGCCACACUACUCAGGUAUUCUAUCUGACAGAAUUUCAGACCUGGAACAGUAUAUGAAGGUCUGUGCUGUUUGAGUUUGAGUUCUCCAACCUGGUGAAGUCUUUCUCAACUCACACCAAUGUAGUCUGAUCUCCUUCCUGUCCUAUUAAGCCAUUCCUCUACAUUUCUAUGGCAACCUCUACCCAAACUUUAGGCUUUAGUCCAGGAGAAAGAACAGGAUUAAAUAUUUUUUAAAAGUCUCCAAAGGAAAGUAGAGGCAACAAUGUUAUAGCUUCCUUCUGUGUUUGCUGUUUAUCCCUCAAGAUGAAAUAUUAAUUUGUGUAAUGACAUAUGUGAAUGCCAGUAAAAGCUUGGCUAAUAAUUAAAUCCCUCUUACCUAAUAGAAGGCAAAAACGUAACCAUGGAUAUGGACCACAAGCAAGCACAACUCUUAGCAGAUAUUGAUGGCUUGUAACCAAGACAGAGCCUGUUGGUUAAAUAUAACCUUUGAUUAAUGCCAAACUGAAGAAUAAUUUGUAAAAGAUGCCAAGUAUGUAUCUUUAGUGUGUGACUAUGUAAAACAUAAGUUUAUCAUUAUCACCCCUAGGGAAAGAAGGCAGUGGGAUAUUUUUUAAUGAAUCCAGAUGUCCAGACUGUAUUUUUCUUUAUUUUUAGACUUACCCACAGCAGUAGUUCCAAAGCUGAGCUGUUAACAAGACCAUGGGUAUGGUAGGUGAGAUGAGACAGCUGCUUUUGUCUGUGAAGAAAGUUAAUUUGUGUGACACCUGCCUUAUGUCUUCCGGGAAAUUAGCAUCUGAAGUUUCAAUAAGUUUCUAAGUCAGAGUGCACUAUGUUUAUCAAGCCAAUCCAACUAUGUCCCUGCAUAUCUGAAUGAUAAUGCUUUUUAUGCAUAACUGGUGCAUAAUGUUUUUUAAAUUACACAGUAUGUGCAAACUCUUCCCACCUGAAAUAAAACUUACUUAAAAGAGACUGUUAAGUAUAGAGUCCAGCAGGAAGUAGGCAUUGGCAUUUAUGAAUAGCCUUCUUUCUGCCUUGCGGUGAGCUAGAUGCUGAAAGAAAGAGAAUUGACAUUUAUGGAGAAUCUUCCUUGAGCCUGGGAGCACAAAGAUUUGGUUUUUUGCUGGCCGUUGACACCACAGGUCCUGGACUGACCAACAUGUUUCUGAAAACAAAAGCUCUCUUCUAACUGAUCUGCUGCAGGGGAGUAGCCUUGUAGGACUCAGAGCAGAUCACUUCCUAGAGUCUUCUUGGUGCCUGAGAGAGGCAGGAGCUGGGAUUCAGAAAUUAAGGUGCUGCUGAUGCUACUGGGUAGAGGCUCAAUUUUGAUGUUGCAGGGAGCUUAUCAAACUAUGUAAGGAAGCCAGUAUUGUGUUUAAAAUGCCGGCACUGGUUAUCAAAGAGUCAUGAGAUUGUGUGUCUGACUGUAACUAUUCUUUGUAUACCUGAAUCUUCUCUGCAUUUCCAGAAAUCUGGAUGAAGUCUACUAGUGCUCUCAAAAGGUCAAGAAUGUUUAGCUUUUUCUUACUUCAAAUAUAGUUCAACCAUUUGGGGAAAUCUUUUUUAAAAAAGAAAUAUUUUCUUUUUUAAAAAAAUGCAACCUUUGUAUCGUUCGUGAAUUUCACAUUAUUCACUUCAGUGUCGCUAAUCUCCCCAUCUCUCACAUCUGCCUCUACCCAUGCAAAUUCCCAUCUCUCACAUCUGCCUUCUACCCAUGAAACUCCCCAUCUCUCACAUCUGCUUCUACCCAUGCAACUUCCCAUCUCUCACAUCUGCUUCUACCCAUGCAACUUCCCAUCUCUCACAUCCACCUUCUACCCAUGCAACUCCCCAUCUCUGACAUCCACCUCCUACCCAUGCAACUUCCCAUCUCUCACAUGUGCCUUCUACCCAUGCAACUCCCCAUCUCUCACAUCCACCUUCUACCCAUGCAACUUCCCUAGUGCAAGAAAAAUUAAAACAAAACAAUACAAACAUCUCAUUGUGGAAACUGCAGUAUAUUACAGUGUGUCAAUUUGGGGAAAUUUCAUAAACUACAC
rnacentral:lncRNA from 1 species